rnacentral:lncRNA from 1 species
GACUUGUGUGAGAAAAUUUAGAAAUGUGCUAGGCAAAUGUUAAAGUGGCCUAUUAAUGCAUGUUAGAAAAUGCUUGUACUUGCAUGUCAAAUUAGCCAAAUUCUAGAUGGUGGCCGGCCAUGUUAUGGACUAAAACAUAUUAUAAUUAUUUUAUGUUAAUAUUUUAUGUUAAAAAAAUAAAAAUAUGGAUAAUAAAAAAAAUGUUGAAUUGUGGGAGGAGAAACCAAAGUUUCUCCAUCUUUGCUCC